AAUCACAAAGCGGAUUAGCGGUACCGCGAUUGGCGCAAUCUCUAUUUCUCUCAAUCGUGCAUUUUUCCUGUUGUGCCUUACAAUCCUGCGCGAAGUGACUAUACCGAAAGCGUCCGUAACACUGUGUCAGCGGUAUAAAAGGUUUUGCUUCUAUUCUUGUAUAUGCAUAGUAAAUGUGGCUCGGUAAAUUUUGGCCCUGAAAAAAACUUGUAUUCUUCUGGUUGGUAUCUUCUUUUCUAUAUCUCUUCUUUCUACUCUAAUAAUUUUCAUAAUCGGUAUCGGGGAUUUUAUGUCUUGUAGGAGUUCUUCGUUGGGUAUGUCCGUGGGGAUAUCAAAGAUUAGUCCCGUCGUAGCAUACUCUGUUUGCUACCUCUGCGUUCCUGCAUCCGACCUUGACUCUACCAUAUCCCACCUUUACUACUUCAAUUCCACCCAGGUUGAAUUUCUAGAGUACGUUCGAUAUGGUAAUUCCAUUAAUUGGUUUUCUUUUAUGGUCUUUGCAUCUGCUGUCAAUAUACACCACGAAAGGUCUUCCAUGUUCUGCGUCAUAUUUAAGCUGUUCAUCAUCUUUUCCUUUAUUUUCUUUCAUUAGAGGUUUUAUUAUAAUAUUGCAUCUAAUAAAAUCGAGUGUUACGCCGCCGUGAAAUCCCAGAAUGCAUCGCCGUCGUUGAGCUUUUAGGGUUUCGUCCUCUUCUUUGUACUAUUUUUCGCUGUCAUCGCUAUUUCCAU